rnacentral:rRNA from 1 species
GACGAACGCUGGCGGCGUGCUUAACACAUGCAAGUCGAACGGAAAGGCCCUGCUUUUGUGGGGUGCUCGAGUGGCGAACGGGUGAGUAACACGUGAGUAACCUGCCCUUGACUUUGGGAUAACUUCAGGAAACUGGGGCUAAUACCGGAUAGGAGCUCCUGCUGCAUGGUGGGGGUUGGAAAGUUUCGGCGGUUGGGGCUGGACUAGCGGCUUAUCAGCUUGUUGGUGGGGUAGUGGCUUACCAAGGCUUUGACGGGUAGCCGGCCUGAGAGGGUGACCGGCCACAUUGGGACUGAGGUACGGCCCAGACGCCUACGUGAGGCAGCAGUGGGGAAUAUUGCACAAUGGGCGGAAGCCUGAUGCAGCAACGCCGCGUGCGUGAUGACGGCCUUCUGGUGGUAAACCGCUUUCGCCUGUGACGAAGCGUGAGUGACGGUAAUGGGUAAAGAAGCACCGGCUAACUACGUG